GUGAGGAAUUUUCCGCAAUGGGCGAAAGCCUGACGGAGCAAUGCCGCGUGAAGGAUGAAGGCCUAUGGGUUGUAAACUUCUUUUCUCAGAAAAGAAUUAUGACGGUAUCUGAGGAAUAAGCAUCGGCUAACUCUGUGCCAGCAGCCGCGGUAAGACAGAGGAUGCAAGCGUUAUCCGGAAUGAUUGGGCGUAAAGCGUCUGUAGGUUGUUUAAAAAGUAUUCUGUCAAAGAUUAGGGCUUAACCCUAGAUAGGCAGAAUAAACUUUUAAGCUAGAGUGUGGUAGAGGCAGAGGGAAUUCCCGGUGGAGCGGUGAAAUGCGUAGAUAUCGGGAGGAACACCAAAGGCGAAGGCACUCUGCUGGGCCAAUACUAACACUGAGAGACGAAAGCGAGGGGAGCAAAUGGGAUUAGAAACCCUAGUAGUCC
rnacentral:rRNA from 1 species